AACGAACGCUGGCGGCGUGUCUUAAGCAUGCAAGUCGAGCGGCAAGGGUAGCAAUACCCCUAGAGCGGCGGACUGGUGAGUAACACGUGGGUGAUCUACCUCGGGGAUGGGGAUAGCCAUUUAGAAAUAGUGGGGUAACUACCGAAUACGUUGCCAAGCUUACGAGCUUGGUAAGAAAGGCGCUACGGCGCCACCCUGAGAUGAGCCCGCGCCCCAUUAGCUAGUUGGUGAGGUAACGGCCCACCAAGGCUAUGAUGGGUAGGCGGCCUGAGAGGGUGUACGCCCACACUGGGACUGAGAUACGGCCCAGACUCCUACGGGAGGCAGCAGCUAAGAAUAUUCCGCAAUGGACGAAAGUCUGACGGAGCGACGCCGCGUGGAUGAUGAAGGCCGGAAGGUUGUAAAAUCCUUUUGUCGGGGAAGAAUAACCAUGGGAGGGAAUGACCCGUGGGAUGACAUGAACCGGCGAAUAAGCCCCGGCUAACUACGUG
rnacentral:rRNA from 1 species